rnacentral:sRNA from 1 species
UUUUCAGAAGAAGAAGAAGAAGAAUUGUAGAUCCCGCCACAAUUCCGUCAACUAAAACCCUAACUUCUCAUGAAAUCUCUUCGUCGUCUUCGUCAUCGAUUUCGUUAAUUUGGUUAGGU